UCUAGCUUAUCGCUAGCAGUUCCCUUAGAGUGCCCAGCUUUCCUGUUGGUAACUAAGGGUAAGGGUUGCGCUCGUUGCGGGACUUAACCCAACAUCUCACGACACGAGCUGACGACAGCCAUGCAACACCUGUGAUAGUCCAGCCGAACUGAGCAGCUAGUUUCCUAGCUGUUUAUAACUAUCAUGUCAAGACCUGGUAAGGUUUUUCGCGUAGCAUCGAAUUAAACCACAUGUUCCACCGCUUGUGCGGGUCCCCGUCAAUUCCUUUGAGUUUUAAUCUUGCGAUCGUACUCCCCAGGCGGAGUGCUUAAUGCGUUAGCUGCGGUACUAAAAUAUAAAAUCCUAAUACCUAGCACUCAUCGUUUACUGCGUGGACUAC
rnacentral:misc_RNA from 1 species